AGAACGAACGCUGGCGGCAUGCCUAAUACAUGCAAGUCGAACGAAGGCUUCGGCCUUAGUGGCGCACGGGUGCGUAACGCGUGGGAAUCUGCCCCUUGGUUUGGAAUAACAGUUGGAAACGACUGCUAAUACCGGAUGAUGACGAAAGUCCAAAGAUUUAUCGCCAAGGGAUGAGCCCGCGUAGGAUUAGCUAGUUGGUGAGGUAAAGGCUCACCAAGGCGACGAUCCUUAGCUGGUCUGAGAGGAUGAUCAGCCACACUGGGACUGAGACACGGCCCAGACUCCUACGGGAGGCAGCAGUAGGGAAUAUGGACAAUGGGACGAAAGCCUGAUCCAGCAAGUGCCGCGUGAGCGAGUGAAGGUCCGUUAGGUUAGUAAACGCGUUCUUUUACCCGGAGUAAGUAGUAAUAA
rnacentral:rRNA from 1 species